UUUAUAGAUUCUCUAUAAACUUCUUAGUUUUGAUGUCACCGAUAUUUUUGUGAAAUAUGUUUUCGUGCUUAGCGAUUUUGUAACGAAUCCAAAUGAAGAGAAACUUGACGAGCUUUUUGGAGGUUUGUGAUGAUUUUUUCGCAUUUCGGAAAAUGCAACAUUUCACGCGGUUCGUAACCCGUCAAGUUACUCAUCUUUCGGAUUCAUUACAAAACCACCAAACACGAAAAACGCGUUUUAUAAAAAUAUCGGCGACAUCAAAAUGAAGAAGUUUAUAGAGAAUCUACAAGCACGGAUGUGCUCAACGGAGGUCAUACGACGUCUGCGACACUAACCCUAUUCUGCUCGUCGCAAUGCUCGGUUUACGAGUACUACUAACACGG